rnacentral:rRNA from 1 species
AGACGUCUACAUUAGAUACCCCUGUAGUCCCAGCCGUAAACUAUGCGCGUUAGGUGUAUCGGUGACCACGAGUUACCGAGGUGCCGAAGGGAACCGUGAAACGUGCCGCCUGGGAAGUACGGUCGCAAGGCUGAAACUUAAAGGAAUUGGCGGGGGAGCACCACAACAGGUGGAGCCUGCGGUUUAAUUGGACUCAACGCCGGGAAGCUCACCGGAUAGGACAGCAGAAUGAUUGCCGGGCUGAAGACCCUGCAUGACUAGCUG